rnacentral:snRNA from 1 species
CUGCUCGCUUUCAGCAGCAAAUAUACUAAAAUUGGAAUGAUACAAAGAAGAUUAGCAUGGCCCCUGCACAAGGAUGACAAAAAAAAAAAAAAAGCCAUUCUUAUAUCU